UACGUAGGGUGCAAGCGUUAAUCGGAAUUACUGGGCGUAAAGCGUGCGCAGGCGGUUUUGUAAGUCAGAUGUGAAAUCCCCGGGCUUAACCUGGGAACUGCGUUUGAAACUACAAGGCUAGAGUGUGGCAGAGGGGGGGUGGAAUUCCACGUGUAGCAGUGAAAUGCGUAGAGAUGUGGAGGAACACCGAUGGCGAAGGCAGCCCCCUGGGUUAACACUGACGCUCAUGCACGAAAGCGUGGGGAGCAAACAGG
rnacentral:rRNA from 1 species